CCCUUCAAACAACUUAAUCGUGUGGAUCUUCUAAUACAAUCAUCACAACUGUCACAAUAUACAAAAAUAAUAAUAACAUAUUCUAGGACUCACAAGUCAAUACUUUCACAAAAAUGAUUUACAGGAGAAAGAAGCGCUUUGCCAGAAAAAUCGUGCAUGGUACCGAAUUGUUUAAUCAAUAGACGUUGGAACUUAAUACUCAAGUUUUUGCCGGAAUAUUUGCUAGUGACAUCUUUGAAGGGGCAGUUUCAGAAUGGAUUCAGAAGUUGGGGGAUCAUUUGCAUCUUCAAGCUCAUGCAAAUAGUAACAGGAGAUGGUGAGACCCUGAGAUGACAAUGGACACUGGUCUUUGAUCUGUAGGUCUCUGCUUGUUAUUGUUAUAUCUGUUUUUGAAGAUAAUUUCUACGACCUAAGUCAGUUUUAUUAGGAAUAUAGGUAAGCUUAUGGUUCUGGUAUUUAUAGAGUUCAAGUGAUAGGGUCAUUCUAGGCUAUGUGCACUAUGCCAUCGUAAUGAUCAUGGCCAUAAUGUUUGUAUUAUCGUAACUUAUAUUAUAU
rnacentral:lncRNA from 1 species